GCUCAAUGUGGUAUAAAUUACCAUAAAUAGCCGCAGAAUAUUAACUGUGCUAAGGUAGCAUAAUCAUUUGCCUAUUAAUUGUAGACUAGAAUGAAAGGUAAAACAGUUUAUUUACUUUUUUAAUUCUAAUUAAAUAAAAAUUAUACUAAAUAUAAAAAUAUAUUUAUUAACUAAUUAGACGACAAGACCCUAUCGAACUUUACUUAAGUUGAGCUGGGGCAGCUAAUUAAUUAAAAUUUUAAUUAAAUUUGUACAAAUAAUGAUCCAGUCCAACUGAUAAUUUGAUUAAGUUACCGUAGGGAUAACAGCGUAAUUUAUUUUUAAAGUUCUUAUUUAAAAAUAAGAUUGCGACCUCGAUGUUGAAUUAAUUUUCUUUUGUGAGCAAAAUCACAAACAGUAGGUCUGUUCGACCUUUAAAAUUUUACAUGAUUUGAGUUCAAAUCGGUGUAAACCAGAUUGGUUUCUAUCUUUUUUAUAUAUUUCUUAGUACGAAAGGGCCAGAAAAAAUAUUUUAUAAUAAGCUUUAUGGCAGAAUAUUGCAAUAGAUUUAGAAUCUAAACACGUGUUUUUAUGGCCCCCCCCCUAAAUUUAAUC
rnacentral:misc_RNA from 1 species